rnacentral:tRNA from 1 species
GACCCUGUGGUGCAGAGGCCCAGCACGCCAGCCUUUCACGCUGGAGAUCGAGGGUUCGAAUCCCUCCAGGGUCGCCA